CCCUUAGACGUUCUGGGCCGCACGCGCGCUACACUGACACAGGCAACGAGCUUUCCUUUACCGAAAGGUAUGGGUAAUCUUUUGAAACUGUGUCGUGCUGGGGAUAGAUCCUUGCAAUUUUUGAUCUUAAACGAGGAAUUCCUAGUAAGCGCGAGUCAUCAACUCGCGUUGAUUACGUCCCUGCCCUUUGUACACACCUCCCGUCGCUACUACCGAUUGAAUGGCUUAGUGAGGCCUCAGGAUCCGCGCUUAAUGUGUGGAGAAUUUGGACAAACUACGUCAUUUAGAGGAAGUAAAAGUCGUAACA
rnacentral:rRNA from 1 species